rnacentral:rRNA from 1 species
AGGGAAUCUUCCGCAAUGGGCGAAAGCCUGACGGAGCAACGCCGCGUGAGUGAAGAAGGAUUUCGGUUCGUAAAGCUCUGUUGUUAGGGAAGAAUGAUUGUAUAGUAACUAUAUACAGUAGAGACGGUACCUAACCAGAAAGCCACGGCUAACUACGUGCCAGCAGCCGCGGUAAUACGUAGGUGGCAAGCGUUGUCCGGAAUUAUUGGGCGUAAAGCGCGCGCAGGUGGUUUAAUAAGUCUGAUGUGAAAGCCCACGGCUCAACCGUGGAGGGUCAUUGGAAACUGUUAAACUUGAGUGCAGGAGAGAAAAGUGGAAUUCCUAGUGUAGCGGUGAAAUGCGUAGAGAUUAGGAGGAACACCAGUGGCGAAGGCGGCUUUUUGGCCUGUAACUGACACUGAGGCGCGAAAGCGUGGGGAGCAAACAGGAUUAGAUACCCUGGUAGUCCACGCCGUAAACGAUGAGUGCUAAGUGUUGGUCUCAUAAGAGAUCAGUGCUGCAGCUAACGCAUUAAGCACUCCGCCUGGGGAGUACGACCGCAAGGUUG